CUCACUCUCAACCCCACCUACACGUUCUCCUCAAAACAAAAUAGCAACUCUCUCUCUCUAGAUCAUCAAGUUCAGAUUCUCUCUCUCGACCUCUCCUCUUUAAAUUAAAAUGGAAACAUACUGAAAUUCUCAUCCCUCUCUUCUCACUUCACAGAAACUCAAAUUUCUACUCUAGUCACAGCUCUCUCUUUACUGCACCAGUAAUCGCCGCCCAUAGCUGCUGAAACUCGCCGCGUCUCUUCCCAAAAUCUGUCAUCCGUUGCUGAAACUCCAGGCAUCCAUCGUAGCUACUACUGCCCCUCCGUCGCCGCUGAGCUCCAGGCAUCGUCGCCGGCUGUAAUACCCCGACAUUUUCUGCCCCUUUUUAUUUGUUCCCGUAGUGACAUCGUUUGUGCACAUGAAAAUUUUUGCUUUUGUUUCGUUAGUCGAUGGAAGGAUAUAUCAUUUUUGGCCUAUCACUUUUGUCUAAUUUUUUUAGGUCAUUUAUCCUUAUUCAAUAGGUCUACUUUUAAUAUAUCCAUUUAUUCAUAAUCCAACAUAAAUCCCUUCUUCUAAACCCUUUCUACACGUUUUCUUUAUUCAUCAAUAUCCCUACUCCCUGAAAUCUCUCCAACCAACAAAUCCAUCAAUAUCUAUUAGUUUUGCCUAUAUAUAUACCCAAACCACUCUACAUAUUUCACGUUACACAUCCAAAUUUUGAUAGAGGAAACCGAGAGGGAGUAGAGAGAGACUAUGAUUUCUUCCACCCAAUUCUAUCAUGCAAUUACAAGGAUUUUCUUUCGCAAGCGAGUUAAGGUGAAGUGAGAGAGUUUUCAAGUUAAGAAUUGUAAGAGAACAAGUCGCGAUCAACCGUGUUUUCUAUCCUUAGAAAAUGCGGGCGUGACACCGGCGUUCCCGUUGUGCAGCACCGUUCUCACAAACGAAUAAAAAUUGAAGCUUUGACUAUUGAUGUGGUACUCAAAAAGAUCUCAGCCGUGUUCUACGAAAUCCAUUACUGAACUAUAUGAUUAUGAACAAGAAUUUCAUGGAGAAAAAGACACGAGUAUACCUCUAGUUUAAAGGAAUAAAUUUGUAGAGCAAAAUCUGAAAACUCACGGCUGCCCGACUCCUUUUGCUAUCUCAGAAUUUGGAGGAAAGGUAAAAAUUUGUGGAACGGUUUGGGUGUAUAUAUUCACAUGUAAAUUGUAUAUUUGAAACUGAUAUGGAGUAGUUGAGAUAUAUAUGGGCUACACGUUUGUAUAUGAAAUUGAGAAUUUAUCCCUCUUUUUUAGGGUGGCGGAGAGAUUUGAGAUAA